UGGGGAAUAUUGCACAAUGGGGGAAACCCUGAUGCAGCGACGCCGCGUGAACGAAGAAGGUAUUCGUAUCGUAAAGUUCUGUCCUAUGGGAAGAUAAUGACAGUACCAUAGAAGAAAGCUCCGGCUAAAUACGUGCCAGCAGCCGCGGUAAUACGUAUGGAGCGAGCGUUGUCCGGAAUUAUUGGGCGUAAAGGGUACGCAGGCGGUUUAAUAAGUCGAAUGUUAAAGAUCGGGGCUCAACCCCGCAAAGCAUUGGAAACUGAUAAACUUGAGUAGUGGUGAGGAAAGUGGAAUUCCUAGUGUAGUGGGGAAGUACGUAGAUAUUAGGAGGAAUACCAGUAGCGAAGGCGACUUUCUGGACACAAACUGACGCUGAGGUACGAAAGCGUGGGGAGCAAACAGG
rnacentral:rRNA from 1 species